CUGUGUCAAAUGUCUCCAGCUCCUGAACUCACGGUCAUUGCAUAUUCUAAAUUGUUGGCUUCACUGAAAUUGGACAGAUGCUAAAAUAGAAACCUCUGUGUAACUGAAUGGGUUGCUUGGUAGUAGAGACAGUAAACUGCUUGAUCAAUGAAGUCGGUGGAAGACAGAAACGCCGGGGAUAGAGGCGUCUGAGUGGGUGGGUGUCGGUAGUAGAAAUCUGUAGAAUGUG
rnacentral:lncRNA from 1 species